UUUAGUAUAUUAAUCAAAGUUUAGAAUUUCCUUUCUUCUGGAAAAUAAUCUCCACGUACAUAGUUUAGGACGGUUCGCCGUAAUAUCCUCUUGUUUCGGCAAGAGUGUUCGAAGUUGCAUAAGCAGCCAAAACUUGAUCAAUUAAUCGACAGUUAUUGGAAAGGAACUGGCUAACGAGCCAUUAGUUGAACAAAACUUUCUGAUUAUAUUCCGGUAAUGACCUGUCGCAUCCAGCCGAUGCAAUUAUCCGAACUGAUGGUUAAUGAUUGUAUCGUGACCUGAUAAUUGGUGCGACUCCGUCAGAUAAAUGUGCAUUUUACCUUCACAGAAAUUGCAAAAUGUAGUGGUUCUUUGUUAACAACAGCUGAUAAAUCGGUCAGUUAUGUUCGGAAUUGUCACAGCUGCUGUUUGAUUCUAUAGAAAUAGUUCACAAGUAUUGGUUUACUUGUGAUACUUACGAGUGGUUUCUUCGCAAGUAUUUACCCCAUGCUGUGUUUACGCAGAAAAAUGACCUCAGCAGGAUGCUUCUGACGCUAACAACGUUAUCAGUCGAAAUAUAUGUUCGCCGGCAGAGGUUGUGGAUAACCAUGAUACACUGGCGUAAAACACGGUAAUAAAUCACUUCUUACGUUCGUUACGUUCAUUAAACAUUUACCAUCCCGAAAGGGAAUAGCAAGGAGUACCUUCUUCUCAAUCCCGGACAGUUGGAAAGCUAAUUAAUCACAAAGACAUCAACUACAGGCGAACGUUUUCACUCGCUUGUAAUUAGUUGUAAAAUACAUUGAAACGAGAGAAACGAAAGAAAGUGAGAAUAAGAACCUCUUUCUCUGUGAAUUAACAGAGAACUAGGAAAGUGAAAAGAACCGAGGAACAGGAAGGAGAUGAAGAAAUAGCAAAUUGAGAAAUGGAAACGGGUUAAAGGAAACGGGGUGAAAAGUAAAGAAAGUAGUAAUGGAUGAAUAAAGGGGAAGUAAAGGUGAGGAGCUGCUAAGUGCCUUUUUGCAGUGUACACACCGUUCAAAUCGGGAAGAAAUUUUCUUUCCUCGAAAUGAAUUAGGUAACAUCUUAAGAUUUAUAUAUACAUUGUGUAAUUAAAAAUUGACAUUGAAAGGAAAUUUAAUCAAAUUCGCAGAGAUACUUUCUUAAUUAAAUAUUUAAAAUAUAAGCUUUCAAAGAAUUAUUUUAAUUAUGAAAUAUGUUUUUGAAAAUUAGUAAUACUGCAGAUUGAAAGGAAAAGGGUAUAGUUCAAAGAAUUUUUGUUUUGAAAUUCAAAGGACUUCUUCGCACAAAAGUCAUCGAUUGAUGAUCAUUAACUGAUGAAUUAAAAAUCGGAGCUCGUUAAAUCGUAUUUCACGUUAUCGUACAUCCACAAUACGUGCAUGUGGGGUUUUUGUUCUCACCAGAAAAAGGAUCGCACGGAACUCGGUGGUGGAUUCGAGAGGGCAAAAGUGGAGCGAGCAGUACGCAACUUGUGAAAGGGAAUUAUCAACGCCAUAAAUCGAUCGAAUGGUAGACGUUGAAAUGGGGAAACGAUGAAGCUGAAAGUUUAUCAUCCACCAAGAAUUGGUUAAACGAUAAUCAAUUCGUAUCAGAAGCUCUAUUCCGACAGCUGAAAUGUCGGUGAUGUUGAUAACAAAUGUGAUAAGGAAAUCUGUGCAACGUAGCCAAGCACACUUUAGGCGUAUGCAAACCUGACACGAAUUUGGAAGACGACCUUAAUAAUACAUUGAUCCAGGUGAUUACUGAUUAUCCUUUCCAUCGAAAUGUAUCAUCAGAAAUCGAAAUAUUGCUUCGACGAUUCUUUGUACGUGUCAGCUUCGCAUAGAAGUUUGUCGCAGCAGGGUUGCCGGAUAAAAGUAGAUAGGUACGUUUCUUUGUCGUUGAGCAUGUGGGUCAUAGUCGAAGUGCGAUGGCUUAUCGAGUAACUGGAAGAGAGUCUCUGUGAUUGCGACGAUGUUCAAGCUUGCUUUUGAUGUGCGAAACCGAGACCAGAAAAGGAUCACGCUAUCUGAGAAUAAGAAAAAAAGAUAAGGGAUCGAGAAAAGGGCUCGAUAAUCGGCACGCCGACGUUCCGUCAAUGUUCAAGGUAAUUUCAGUGAUUUUGACCUAAAUUUUCCCUUUGUAAAAUAAACGAGCCCCUCAAGGGACGAAGGAAUCGAAUCGAGUGAGGAAUCUGAAAACUUGUGGCAUUCGACAAAUAAAACUUGAAUUUGACAAGUUGCAGUUCCUUUUUCACCUCAGACAGUGACCACAGAUACAAAAAGACUGGGUAUGCUUCUGUCCUCGAGAAAUCAUAGUUUUGGGGUACCAGACAACCCAAGUGAUGAUUAAGACUGCAUGUACAGAAUACAAAAUCAGUCAACAUCAGUCAACAGCACAAGACCAAAAAAGUAAUUAUAUAAUUUUUUGACAAACUUGUAUUCACUUCAUACACCUUGG